AGGUUUGAGGGUGAUCUAGCGUGACACCUGCUACUCCAUUGAUCAUCGAGAUUGAUUCUGUCCAUCUGCCUGGCUACAAGUGUGUCUGUCCCCCUUCUUUCCACACCACUCCAUGAUCAUCCCUCCUGAAGUUCUAUAUCUGGCAGGACAAGACAGCAACCCCCAACAACGAGGAACAGUUCUUCUGUCAAGGGUAUGUAAAUAGAUAUGCUCCCCUGCUAGAACUCCCAAACAAGUUCUUAAGGCCCAGAUUAAAGGUUUUCAACUAUGCAAUGCUAUCAAUGUAAGAGGUGGGCAUU
rnacentral:snRNA from 1 species